rnacentral:piRNA from 1 species
UAAGUAGAAACGUAAUUGGUAGACGAAAU